rnacentral:SRP_RNA from 1 species
GCUGGGCGUGGUGGCGGGUGCCUGUAGUCCCAGCUGCUCGGGAGGCUGACGCAGGAGAAUGGUGUGAACUCGGGAGGCGGAGCUUGCAGUGAGCCAAGAUUGCGCCACUGCACUCCAGCCUGGGCGACAGAGCGAGACACUGUCUUAAAAAAAAAAAAAAAUAAGAUGUAGGCUUGCUCUGUCACCCAGGCUGGAGUGGUGCAGUGGCGCGAUCUGGGUCACUGCAAGCUCUGCCUCCCAGGUUCCCGCCAUUCUCCUGCGUCAG